UUAAUAAAUCGUUCUAUCGUGCCAGAAAUGGUAAGGAAAGUCCGGACAGCGUAGAGUGCCAUACCUUAUGAAAGUGGGGGUGCCUUAGGGUAACAGAUAGUGCUACAGAGAAUAUACCGCUCUUUUAAAGAGUAAGGGUGAAAAGGUGAGGUAAGAGCUUACCGCUCGGAGGGUAACUGAAGAGGCUAAGAAAACCUUAUGGGCUGCAAGGUCAAAUAAACCGGAUAUAGAGUUGCUCGCUCUUCCGGAGGGUAGACUGCUUAGAUAAAUGAUAGAAGACCGACUUGUCGGUGACAGAAUCCGGCUUAUAGAUUUAUUCAUUAA
rnacentral:RNase_P_RNA from 1 species